GUCUGCUCCAUUCUUUAUGCUUCGCAUCUAAGUCUGAUACUUUAUCUCCUAAACUUAAUUGCUUUUCUAAUAAUUGCACUUUAGUAAGUGUUACUUCUUCAGAAUAAAACUUGAUUGGUUGCUUACCGUGAAGGUUGUCUCCGCUCAUAACUACAAAAAUAGGAUC
rnacentral:antisense_RNA from 1 species